UUCCCACGCCCUUAUUGUACUGUCCAUGGAACCAGAGUAAAGCCUAUCCCUUCCAAUAGUUAAGCAUAUCACAGCACCAGUAUGGCCUUUCAAAGAUGUGGCAAGUUCAAAAGGAUUUGGGCUUUCUGUACUCCCUUUCCAUGCCAAAAUGGAACCAUCCUGUGCCCCCGCAAAAAGCGUAUCAGAAGAAACAGUCAUAGCAUAAACUUGCCCAACUGGUCCAUUAAGAUUAUAUUCAGCAGCUGUCUCGAUGUUCCACGCCUUAACAACAUUUGGCAAGCCUACGAAUAUCCAUGGGCCUUCACUGAUUAAAGACCCAAUUUCAUCACCAAGAUUUAUCACCCUUGUGGACUGACCAGUAUGACAAUCCCAAACAUGUACUGUUCCAUCACUGCUGCCUGAAUAAAGCUUAUCAGAUCCUGAAGGAAGUGCCACCCCACAUACAGCCUCAGUGUGUCCCUUGAGGUUUGCCAGCAGUGAAAACCAAUCCCCACGAAAUCAUGAAUGCAAGAACUGGCACCCAUCACCUUUAAUACAACUGCCUGACAUCCAGUAAUCACACGCCUUAUUUGAGCUCUUGUUAACAGUUUUAUCUUCAGAAGCAUCAGAGCACUUGCUGGACGCUCCUAUCUCCUCCAUAUUUCCCGAAUCUGUGCUGGUGCAGGAACUGGAGCUCUCCUCAAUACUUUUAUAUUCAGACACACCACCUCCAGUAGCUGAAGCCAAAGAACUACUAGGAUUGGGGCGCUUCCUAGGCAGAUGCUUAAUAUCAUGACUGGAACUCUUCUGAACAGUUUUAGCUUCAGAUCCUGCCAUUGAAUUGCCUAGGCCGUAGCUAGACCUCCUCAUCGACUGUCCCUCCAGUAAAACAUUGGAUUCCUUAGAGGUUCUACGGUAAACAUUAGGAGGUUGUGAUUCUCUGUGCAUGAACCUACACGGGUUUCUAUUACACUUUCCCCGCAUCCAGAAGCGACAAACAACGUUGCUAUGCGCAGCUCCUCCUCCAAGUCGUCUAUGAACGGUCUCAGCUUCCAUGCUAAAAGGACAAAACACGAUAGCAGAAUGAACAAGUUGAACCAUACAAUCUUUGGCGAUUCAGUUUUCUCUGACACGAUUAAAACUAAAACCCUAAUCGGAGUCAGAGAAAGCAUAGCAAAAGAUCCUAAUAUAAAGCUGUUCAUCUCUUAUUUGCAAAUGCUUACGCU
rnacentral:misc_RNA from 1 species